CGCCCCAGCCACGUCACAAACCCCUCCCGCGCCCCCGGGGCGACCCCGGCCCAGAUCCCCGCGCUCCCCUGAGAUUCGGCCUCGGGAAGGAGAGACCAGGUGUGGUCGGACCCGCGACGCCGACGGCGCUGACGGUGUUUCCCGCUCGUUGAACUCCGGGGACGCGCGGAGUCGGCGCCUCGUUCUCUCCCUGCAGCUCCUGAGCGACGGGACCGCCCCGGUGAGGGUGAUGGGCCGAGAACCGCGUAGGUUCAAACCCCGGUUCCUCCUUUCCCGCGCGGAGUGACUUCCGGCUGCACCGGGAACCCUCCUGGGCCUCUGCUCACCGUUUAUAAAAUGGGGACAUCGCAGUGCAGGCUCCUGUGAGGGCAGAAUCGGAUCACGCCUCCCCUCGGGUCGGUCCCGGCUUCCGCUUGAGUGUCUUGGUGACUGUACUCUGACUUCAGUGGAAACGGGACACUGAAACCAUAAGAGACCUGAGAAAUGAAGUCUUGCAAGACUUGAGGCCAGUCCAAGUUGAACCAGAGUGGGCAGAAGACGUCUUCAGUUGGAAGCUAGGAGCCUAAAGAGGGAGGUGUGAACAGAGAGGACUGUGAAAGCUUCCAGGAGCAGAGGAGGGACCUGGGUCCUGUGUGCUGUCAUCAUCGCUGUGGUCCUCUGUGAGGUCAGAGCAGACAGCUCUGCCAGGUGCCUCGAGCUGGUGAGUCAGGACCUCAGUCUGAGGACACCACCAUCUUGCCACCCUCAGCCAGAGUCUCCGCAGGGGUGCAGGCCGCGAUUGCCCGGUUUUCCUUUUUCUUCUCUGCAGGUGAACAGAGUUCAGGCUUUGCUUUGGCUUAUAAAUGCAGUUUUGUUUUUACUUCAUCCCAAAUAUUUUGAUUUGUGUUUGGACUUAUGUCACCUUAUGAAUGUUUAAAAUACUUAUUUAUUAACCAAGAAGAGAUUAUGAAAUGUAUAACAGCUUACUGUUUGGGAUUUUAUUUACUGACAUUUUCAGUAUUCAG